AGCAAAAUGAUGAGGUCAGCAUGUCUGAAACUGAUGUGGAUAUCUUUUGUCUCAUAAGGUCUUCAAAGUUCUCUGAUUGCU